rnacentral:rRNA from 1 species
GACGAACGCUGGCGGCGUGCCUAAUACAUGCAAGUUGAGCGAUGAAGAUUGGUGCUUGCCCCAAUUUGAAGAGCAGCGAACGGGUGAGUAACGCGUGGGGAAUCUGCCUUUGAGCGGGGGACAACAUUUGGAAACGAAUGCUAAUACCGCAUAACAACUUUAAACAUAAGUUUUAAGUUUGAAAGAUGCAAUUGCAUCACUCAAAGAUGAUCCCGCGUUGUAUUAGCUAGUUGGUGAGGUAAAGGCUCACCAAGGCGAUGAUACAUAGCCGACCUGAGAGGGUGAUCGGCCACAUUGGGACUGAGACACGGCCCAAACUCCUACGGGAGGCAGCAGUAGGGAAUCUUCGGCAAUGGACGAAAGUCUGACCGAGCAACGCCGCGUGAGUGAAGAAGGGUUUUGGAUCGUAAAACUCUGUUGGUAGAGAAGAACGUUGGUGAGAGUGGAAAGCUCAUCAAGUGACGGUAACUACCCAGAAAGGGACGGCUAACUACGUG